UGGCUCAGUUGGUUAAGCACAGCACUUUCAAUGCGAGGGUUGUGGGUUCGAUUCCCAC
rnacentral:tRNA from 1 species